rnacentral:rRNA from 1 species
CCUAUGGGAGGCAGCAGUGAGGAAUAUUGGUCAAUGGACGAGAGUCUGAACCAGCCAAGUAGCGUGAAGGAUGACUGCCCUAUGGGUUGUAAACUUCUUUUAUAUGGGAAUAAAAUGUUCCACGUGUGGGAUUUUGUAUGUACCCUAUGAAUAAGGAUCGGCUAACUCCGUGCCAGCAGCCGCGGUAAUACGGAGGAUCCGAGCGUUAUCCGGAUUUAUUGGGUUUAAAGGGUGCGUAGGCGGAUUGUUAAGUCCGGUGUGAAAGUUUGCGGCUCAACCGUAACAUUGCAGUUGAAACUGGCAGUCUUGAGUGCGCGAGAGGUAUGCGGAAUUCGUGGUGUAGCGGUGAAAUGCAUAGAUAUCACGAAGAACUCCGAUUGCGAAGGCAGCUCACUGGAGUGCAACUGACGCUGAGGCUCGAAAGUGUGGGUAUCGAACAGGAUUAGAUACCCCAGUAGUC